AGUGAACGCUGGCGGUAGGCCUAACACAUGCAAGUCGAACGGCAGCACAGAGGAGCUUGCUCCUUGGGUGGCGAGUGGCGGACGGGUGAGGAAUACAUCGGAAUCUACUCUGUCGUGGGGGAUAACGUAGGGAAACUUACGCUAAUACCGCAUACGACCUACGGGUGAAAGCAGGGGACCUUCGGGCCUUGCGCGAUUGAAUGAGCCGAUGUCGGAUUAGCUAGUUGGCGGGGUAAAGGCUCACCAAGGCGAAGAUCCGUAGCUGGACUGAGAGGAUGAUCAGCCACACUGGAACUGACACACGGUCCAGACUCCUACGGGAGGCAGCAGUGGGGAAUAUUGGACAAUGGGCGCAAGCCUGAUACAGCCAUACCGCGUGGGUGAAGAAGGCCUUCGGGUCGUAAAGCCCUUUUGUUGGGAAAGAAAUCCAGCUGGCUAAUACCCGGUUGGGAUGACGGUACCCAAAGAAUAAGCACCGGCUAACUUCGUGCCAGCCGCCGCAGUAA
rnacentral:rRNA from 1 species